UGAGGAUGAGGAGAUGCCUCUUGAAGUUCAGAGGAAUUUGGUUCAGUAUUCCUUGUUUGUCACUAGUAUUUUGGAAUGUGAAGAGGAAAAAGGUUUACUCUAUAUCUUCAAUGUGGAACUUACAAAUGAAGUUUCAAGGUGCUCUGAAUAAAGCAUGCAAAAGGUUCAAAUCCUCCCAAGGGCUUCAAUCUGGUGGAUCAACUUUUCCAUAUUCAUAGAGAGUGAGAGUUUCUGAAUAAUGAUGUGCUUUCUAAAAAAAUGCAAAAGGAGUUUGUAAGAGAAAUGGGGUGGAAGAGUGUUUGAUCUUUUAUGGAAAAGUGGUAGGAUUAGUGGGAUGAUGAUCGGGCUUCACUAUUAGAAGUUGUAGAGGAGAACUCACCUUCGGAGAGAGAGUAGGGCAGAAACUCACUACUAGGAGCUAUUGCUUGUACUUUUGGACUACCUAGGAAUUUGGGAAAACAUGGAAGCUAGUGAUUUCACUUAAAGGUUGGGAUUGGUCA